rnacentral:rRNA from 1 species
GAUCGUAAAGCUCUGUUGUUAGGGAAGAACAAGUGCGAGAGUAACUGCUCGCACCAUGACGGUACCUAACCAGAAAGCCACGGCUAACUACGUGCCAGCAGCCGCGGUAAUACGUAGGUGGCAAGCGUUGUCCGGAAUUAUUGGGCGUAAAGGGCUCGCAGGCGGUUUCUUAAGUCUGAUGUGAAAGCCCCCGGCUCAACCGGGGAGGGUCAUUGGAAACUGGGAAACUUGAGUGCAGAAGAGGAGAGUGGAAUUCCCCGUGUAGCGGUGAAAUGCGUAGAGAUGAGGAGGAACGCCAAUGGCGAAG